rnacentral:tRNA from 1 species
AAGGUUUUAAGUUAAAUAAACUAGCAGCCUUCAAAGCUGUAAAUAAAUUACUAGAUUUAAGCCUUA